AUUGAACGCUGGCGGCAGGCCUAACCCAUGCAAGUCGAACGAGUGGCGGACGGGUGAGUAAUGUCUGGUAAACUGCCCGAUGGAGGGGGCUAACUACUGGAAACGGUAGCUAAUAACGCAUACCAUCGGAUGUGCCCAGAUGGGAUUAGCUAGUAGGUGGGGUAACGGCUCACCUAGGCCCCGAUCCCUAGCUGGUCUGAGAGGAUGACCAGCCACACUGGAACGGAGACACGGUCCAGACUCCUACGGGAGGAAGCAGUGGGGAAUAUUGCACAAUGGGCGCAAUCCUGAUGCAGCCAUGCCGCGUGUAUGAAGAAGGCCUUCGGGUUGUAAAGUACUUUCAGCGAGGAGGCGUUACUCGCAGAAGAAGCACCGGCUAACUCCGUGCCAGCAGCCGCGGUAAUUC
rnacentral:rRNA from 1 species